rnacentral:rRNA from 1 species
UAUUUAUUUUAUUAUAUUUAUUUUUUGUUUAUUUAAUUAUUUAAUAAAAAUAAUUUUGUUGAAUUUUGUCUUAGUAUAUUUUGUAGAAUUGAUUUUUUAUAUUAUAGUUUAUUGGUAAUGUAAUUGUUUUAUGAAAUAUUAUUUUAAAUUUUUAAAAGUAGAUUUUAUUUAUUGUACCUUUUGUAUCAGGGUUUAUCAAAAUUUUAGUAUUUACUUUACUUGUCUCGAUUUGGGUUGAUUUAUAAAUAAUUUAUAGUUAAUGUAUCAUAAUUCUUAUUAAAUUAUUUAUAGAAAUGAGAUGUUAACCGUUUCCCAAGAUAUCUAGUUUCUUAAGAAAAAAUUUAAUUUUUUAAAGUUAAUUGUUUUUAUUUAAUUUUUUAAGUAUAAAUAUUAACUUAUUUAUUCUUUAAGGGAUAAGCUUUGAAGUUAAUAACCUAUAAUUUGUUUUAAUAAAAUAUAAUAGUAAGCUUUAAACCAGCUAUCUUUAAGAUUACGUUUUAGUUCAUUAUUUUUAUUUUUGAUUUUAAAACUAUUUUAGGUUUUUUAUUAAGAUUAUAAAUUUAAUUUUUAAAUUUUUGUAAUAAUGAUAGAAUUAGUAUAUUUAUUUGUAGAUAAUUUUUACCUUGUUAAUUUAUUAUAAGGAACUAGGC